ACUUUUCACCUUCAAGGCUUAGUCACUGUUAGGGUUUUACUCCUUAGCUAUUAGGGCAUACAUUGAACUCCUCUUUUCAAUUUUAGCUCAAAUCAUCAUCAACUCAUCUUAAUCUGGGUUCAACUUCCCAACAUCCAGACCACGCCUAGAUCGGUUCGGGAUCUCCAGUUCAACAGAAUCAGUGUCUCCAAAAUGACAUUAUCAUGUAUACUAAGCAUGAUGAUCUCGUUUCGGUUGAUAUGACAACAAGAAUGAAAAAGAAGUUGGAUAAAUAUUGGGGUGAUCGAAUUCUUGAUAGUUAUCGAAGUUCUUUAUCUCCAAAGACGUUAGAAGCGCUUAUUUGCACUGAACAAUGGCUACGACCACCUUCAAAAGAGUGCAAGCUUGAAGAUAUUUUAGAGGAAGUCCAGAAAAUUUAGGAAAUUGAAGAAGAAUAUCCUCACUCACCUUUGAGGAUUGAUUAGCCAGUUGAUAUACUUUGUUUUCACUAUAUGGAACAAAG